GAUGAACGCUGGCGGCGUGCCUAAUACAUGCAAGUCGAGCGAACAGACGAGGAGCUUGCUCCUCUGACGUUAGCGGCGGACGGGUGAGUAACACGUGGAUAACCUACCUAUAAGACUGGGAUAACUUCGGGAAGCCGGAGCUAAUACCGGAUAAUAUAUUGAACCGCAUGGUUCAAUAGUGAAAGACGGUUUUGCUGUCACUUAUAGAUGGAUCCGCGCCGCAUUAGCUAGUUGGUAAGGUAACGGCUUACCAAGGCGACGAUGCGUAGCCGACCUGAGAGGGGGUCCGGCCACCCGGGAACUGGAACAGGGUCCAACCCCCUAGGGGGGGACGCGGAGGGAAUUUUUCCCAAAUGGGGAAAACCCGGAGGGGCAAACCCCGGGUGGUGAAGAAGGGUUUUGGAGUCGAAAACCUCUUUUUUUAGGAAAAAAAAAAUGGUAAAUAAAUUUGCCCCUUUUGAACGGUACCAAUUCAAAAGGCCACGGCAAACCACUU
rnacentral:rRNA from 1 species